rnacentral:rRNA from 1 species
CUUGAGAGAACUCGGGUGAAGGAACUAGGCAAAAUGGUGCCGUAACUUCGGGAGAAGGCACGCUGACACGUAGGUGAAGUGGUUUACCCAUGGAGCUGAAGUCAGUCGAAGAUACCAGCUGGCUGCAACUGUUUAUUAAAAACACAGCACUGUGCAAACACGAAAGUGGACGUAUACGGUGUGACGCCUGCCCGGUGCCGGAAGGUUAAUUGAUGGGGUCAGCGCAAGCGAAGCUCCUGAUCGAAGCCCCGGUAAACGGCGGCCGUAACUAUAACGGUCCUAAGGUAGCGAAAUUCCUUGUCGGGUAAGUUCCGACCUGCACGAAUGGCGUAAUGAUGGCCAGGCUGUCUCCACCCGGGACUCAGUGAAAUUGAACUCGCUGUGAAGAUGCAGUGUACCCGCGGCAAGACGGAAAGACCCCGUGAACCUUUACUAUAGCUUGACACUGAACACUGGUCCUUGAUGUGCAGGAUAGGUGGGAGGCUUUGAAGUGUGGACGCCAGUCUGCAUGGAGCCAUCCUUGAAAUACCACCCUUUAAUGGCUGGUGUUCUAACGUGGGCCCGUGAACCGGGUUGCGGACAGUGUCUGGUGGGUAGUUUGACUGGGGCGGUCUCCUCCUAAAGAGUAACGGAGGAGCACGAAGGUUGGCUAAUCCUGGUCGGACAUCAGGAGGUUAGUGCAAUGGCAUAAGCCAGCUUGACUGCGAGCGUGACGGCGCGAGCAGGUGCGAAAGCAGGUCAUAGUGAUCCGGUGGUUCUGAAUGGAAGGGCCAUCGCUCAACGGAUAAAAGGUACUCCGGGGAUAACAGGCUGAUACCGCCCAAGAGUUCAUAUCGACGGCGGUGUUUGGCACCUCGAUGUCGGCUCAUCACAUCCUGGGGCUGAAGUAGGUCCCAAGGGUAUGGCUGUUCGCCAUUUAAAGUGGUACGCGAGCUGGGUUUAGAACGUCGUGAGACAGUUCGGUCCCUAUCUGCCGUGGGCGCUGGAAGAUUGAGGGGGGCUGCUCCUAGUACGAGAGGACCGGAGUGGACGCAUCACUGGUGUUCGGGUUGUCAUGCCAAUGGCACUGCCCGGUAGCUACAUGCGGAAGAGAUAAGUGCUGAAAGCAUCUAAGCACGAAACUUGCCCCGAGAUGAAUCUUCCCUGAGCCUUUAAGGCUCCUGAAGGAACGUUGAAGACGACGACGUUGAUAGGCCGGGUGUGUAAGCGCAGCGAUGCGUUGAGCUAACCGGUACUAAUGAACCGUGAGGCUUAACCUU